rnacentral:pre_miRNA from 1 species
CCGUCAAAGUCGACUGGGAAAUGCUGUAGAAAGAAUUCUCGCUAAUCCCGGAAUUUCAAAGACAUAUCACAGCCAGCUUUGACGAGC